ACACAUGCAAGUCGACGAUGCCUUCGGGCAUAGUGGCGCACGGGUGCGUAACGCGUGGGAAUCUGCCCUUGGGUUCGGAAUAACAGUUAGAAAUGACUGCUAAUACCGGAUGAUGACGUUAAGUCCAAAGAUUUAUCGCCCGAGGAUGAGCCCGCGUAGGAUUAGCUAGUUGGUGUGGUAAAGGCGCACCAAGGCGACGAUCCUUAGCUGGUCUGAGAGGAUGAUCAGCCACACUGGGACUGAGACACGGCCCAGACUCCUACGGGAGGCAGCAGUGGGGAAUAUUGGACAAUGGGCGAAAGCCUGAUCCAGCAAUGCCGCGUGAGUGAUGAAGGCCUUAGGGUUGUAAAGCUCUUUUACCCGGGAUGAUAAUGACAGUACCGGGAGAAUAAGCUCCGGCUAACUCCGUGCCAGCAGCCGCGGUAAUAC
rnacentral:rRNA from 1 species